CUACAGACUCUGUUCACCAACCGUAAACACAGACGAAGAAGAAACGUUGCCGGAGUGACAGAGGCGUUGGACAGGGAUCAGACCGUCAUAUCCGAUCAUGAGUGUCCCGUGUUUUGUGAGAACGGCGGCCAGAAGUAUCGCCGGUGGAUCCGGACAGUUCAGACUAGCUGUUUGCUCUUCAUGUAAAGACACAGUCACGCGAAAAAUGUUAUCCAGGAGACAGACGGACCAUCUAGAAAGAACUGCUAGCGUUCAUAGACAAAUGGUGAGUCUUCUUAG